AACUGCAUCACUCUCGUGAUUAUUUCUCCCCUUUUUCAGAAUCCCCUGUCUCCAACACAGUCAAGUUGUUACUCCUCUGGAUAACCCAUUGUGCCUCCACUGGGCCUAACUAAACUCUUGGGAUUGAAGUCUGCUCCCCCCAAAAACCCCAAAUCCAUCAAAGCAUGGAAAAUAACCAGUCAGUCCAACAUGAGAGUGAUUCAAGUGAUGACAGUAUGGGAUCACCACCUGAGAUGAGAUUGAAAGAACUGCAAAAGGAAUGCAAGCAAAGUGUUCAAGUAUUCAGACACCUCCUUGAUAGAAGUUUGAAGGACCUUCAGGCAAACGUGAAAGAGCUUUAUCGGAUAGCUGACAGUUAUGAGAGUUGGUACCGUGGUACUACUAUAGGUAGUCUGACAGGGGGUAUUAUUGGGGCGGCUGGAGGUGUCACUACUUUAAUCGGCCUUGGCUUGGCUCCAUUCACUUUUGGCUUAUCCAUGGCUGUUGCCGGGGUGGGUACGGGGAUAUGUGCAGUUGGUGGGAUUGCUGGCGCUGCUUCUAACAUCACCAGCAUGGUGAGUCAACAUUGCGAUCGACAGAACAUUCAGAAAAUUCAGAAGGAUUUUCUGGAAAAAGUACAACCAAUUCAGGAAAGCUUGCAUAAAAUCGGGGUUGGAGUUUGUAAGAGAGCAGCUUCUCUGUGUCGAGAUGAGAUUGUCUUUUUUGGUGAGAUUGCAAAUAUUGCCAAACUAGACACAGUGAGGGUUAUUCAGACAAUCAGGGACAUGGCUAAACAGUAUGAGCAGGUUGUAGACACAUUUGUAAAGAUAAAGAAAGAACUUGAUAGACUCGUAAAAUAAUGAACUGAAAAAAACAUUGAUUAAGAAAAAAUAAUAAUAUGAAAACAAUCAGAUUAUACUGCUUUAUCAUUAUUUUCAGAGAAGAUAAUGUAUUUCACAAAGGUAACUGUAUCCUGGGUAUAGAAUUGUAAUGUAUGAACUAUGCCUAUGUAUAUGGACUUAUCAAGAUACAGUACAUGGUAGUUUUACCAGGCCAUAUGGUCUAUCUUGAUUUUAUAUUUGUAUAGAAACAUAUUGUUUUUGAUAUUUCUUAUUUUUUAUUAUGUUAUUUGUUAAGCACUUUGAACUGAAUUUGUUGAAAGAAAUGUGCUAAUGUGUGUUUGAUUUGUUUUUUUCUACUUUAGUUUAAACAAUGUAUGACUAAUAUGCUCCCGACAUAGCUACAGUAUGUCUCCUGAGGAUGUACAUGUAAAAAUGUAGUCUACAUGUAAAUAUAAAUGUAAAAUAUGAUAUUCUGGUUUGUUUAAUCAGCUAGCUCCCAAUGUAGCGUAUGUGCCUUGGCAAUACUUUGAGGAAGUCAGCUAAGCAAUGUUAAUUGACGUUUAUUUUCUCCUUUUAUUUGUUAAGCACUUUGAAAUGCAUCCUCUGUAAGAAUUUUUCAAUAUAAAUUAAGUUUGAUUUGAUUAGACUUUUAUGUCUCUUUUGUGAAAAGUACAUUAAACCAACGUUAUAAUUGACAGUAAAUGUUCAGCAAACUAUUCAUUUGACAUUGUUAUUAAGUUAUUAUUGAAUGAAUACAAGUGUAUAAUCAAAUGCUGUAUAGCAAACAUAUUUGCUGAUGACUUUUACUGAUUAAA